AUUGAACGCUGGCGGCAGGCCUAACACAUGCAAGUCGAACGAGUGGCGGACGGGUGAGUAAUGUCUGGGAAACUGCCUGAUGGAGGGGGAUAACUACUGGAAACGGUAGCUAAUACCGCAUACCAUCAGAUGGGCCCAGAUGGGAUUUGCUAGUAGGUGGGGUAACGGCUCACCUAGGCGCCGAUCCCUAGCGGGUCUGAGAGGAUGACCAGCAACAGUGGAACUGGGGCACGGUCCAGGCUCCUACGGGAGGCAGCAGUGGGGAAUAUUGCACAAUGGGCGCAAGCCUGAUGCAGCCAUGCCGCGUGUGUGAAGAAGGCCGUCGGGUUGUAAAGCACUUUCAGCGGGGAGGCGUUACCCGCAGAAGAAGCACCGGCUAACUCCGUGCCAGCAGCCGCGGUAAUAC
rnacentral:rRNA from 1 species